ACACAUUGUUUUCAUUGUUUUAUAAACUUUCAUUGUUAUGCGGAUGAUACCCAAUUAUAUCUAUCAAUUAAACCAGAUGAAACCAAUCAAUUGGCUAAACUUCAAGCAUGCCUUAAGGACAUAAAAACUUGGAUGUCUAGCAACUUUUUGAUGUUAAACACAGACAAAACUGAAGUUAUUAUACUUGGCCCUAAACGCCUCCGAAACGCAUUUUCUAAUGACAUAGAAGCUCUGGAUGGCAUUAACUUGGCCUCCAGCACCACUGUAAGGAAUCUUGGCGUCAUCUUUGAUCAAGAUCUGUCGUUUAACUCCCACAUAAAACAAAUCUCAAGGACUGCCUUCUUUCAUCUACGUAACAUUGCAAAAAUAAGACACAUCCUGUCUCAAAAUGAUGCAGAAAAACUAGUCCAUGCAUUUGUUACUUCAAGGCUGGAUUACUGCAACUCAUUGUUAUCAGGUUGUCCAAAAAAGUCGGUUAAGACUCUUCAGUUGAUCCAAAAUGCAGCGGCACGUGUAUUGACUAGAACAAGGAAAUGGGAUCAUAUUACUCCUGUAUUAGCUGCUCUGCACUGGCUCCCGGUAAAAUACAGAAUAGAAUUCAAAAUCCUUCUCCUGACUUACAAAUCAAUUAAAGGUCGGGCUCCAGCAUAUCUUAAAGAUCUCAUAGUACCUUAUAAACCAACUAGAGCAUUACGCUUCCAGACUGCAGGGUUACUUGUGGUUCCUAGAGUCUCUAAGAGUACAAUGGGAGCCAGAGCCUUCAGCUAUCAAGCUCCUCUCCAGUGGAACCAGCUUCCAGUUUGUGUUCGGGAGGCAGACACACUCUCCACAUUUAAGAGUAGGCUAAAGACUUUCCUUUUUGAUAAAGCUUAUAGUUAGGGCUGGCUCAGGUUUGCCCUGGAUCAGCCCCUAGUUAUGCUGCUAUAGGCUUAGACUGCCGGGGGACACCUCCCUGCUCUCUUCCUUCUCUCCCUCUCUCUUCUUCUCCCUCUCUUCUUCUCCCUCUCUAUCUGUAUGCAUUUAUGUAAAUGUAUGUUACUAACUCACCAUCCGGG
rnacentral:lncRNA from 1 species